GGCUGGUCUUGAACUUCUGACCUCAGGUGAUCCACCCAUCUCAGCCUCCUAAAGUGCUUGGAUUACAGGUGUGAACCACCGCGCCCAACCCAGAAAACAUUAGUUUUUAAGAAGCAAACAGAAUAGUAAGCUGAAAGAACUUCAGCUUGUUGGAUUUGAUAAGGGGUUACUAGUGGCUUUGAGAAGAUUAAGACUAGAGAGGCAAACAUUUUUAUAUUUUGUGGCAAAGGAGAUGUGGUCAAAUUAGAGAUUGGGGAAAAGGCAGAAAAAUGUCCGCAAGGAGAGAAAUCAAUACUUUUUUCAUUGAGUGCUUACUGGGUGCCAGGUAUAGAUCUAAGUAAGCCCAAAACCCUGGAUUGAUCUUCAGUUUAUCUUAUCCUGCAUUGGCAAGUCUUGCUGGUUCUAAUAUAUUCCAGCUCAUUAUAUUUCUCUUCAUCACCUCUGUGGCUAACAUCCUUUUCUAGCCUAGACUUAAUGUAGAAGUUUUCUAAGAAGUUUUUGUUUCCAGUCCUGAUAUGUUAUUAUGCAUUCACCAUACAGCAACCAGAAUGACAUUUAAAAAGAGUAAAUUGGACCAUGUCUCUCUCCUACUAACAACGAACUUUCCAUGGCUUUCCAUCGCACCUAAGGUCCAAAUUUCUUAUAACAGCCUGCAAGGUGCAAAGUGAGGCCCUUGAAGUAGCAUCUUAUAGCUUCUUUGCUCUCUUAGUUUGAGCCACACUUUCUUUCUGUUGAUCGAAUGUCACCCCAGGUGAGUUGAGGGGCAUCUGUAUUCAUUGCUUUGUGAGAAUUAUGCUACUAGAUUAAAGCAAAGUCAGUGACACAUGUGGCUAUUGAAACAAUUUUACGACUUAAGAAAACUGGAAAAAUCCCUAGAGUUUGUAGGCAGUUGGCAGAAAAUAAAAGUGCUUCUGUGUUCCUGCACUUGUCCUUGAUCUCCCUAGUUGUGUAAUCUCUUACAUAAUUAUUUUUCCAGCUACCACACCUACAUGUUGUGACUGCACAGGGUGAAAAAGUUUUAAUCUCUCUAAUGUUAACUCUUGAUCAGUUGCUAUAGCCAUCUAUUAGAUUGUAUCUGGCUUUGAACAGAAUGUUUAAUUGCAUUUUAUUAGAGUUGUGUGCUAUUGAUAGAGGAUAAGACAGGGCAAUGUAAGCUUGAUGCUGUAUGUAUGUAUUUAUAGCAGGAUAUGUGAAUACCAUUUAAAAAACUAUGCUGCUGCUCUAGAAACUUUUAUAGAAGGACAAAAAUUCGAUAGUAAGUAUUAAAUUAUAAUUUUAUAAACGUAUCCAUUUCUGUCUUAAAUAGCAAAGCUGAAUUUUGUUAAUGUUAAUCUCAACUUAUUUACAGAAACCCAAUACCUAUUUUUCUCAUCUUAAUUACAUUUCAUAUUGUUUGCAGAUAUGAGAUCACUUAAAAUUGGUUAAAUCAGUCUUUUAGCAUUUAAACCACAGAUAAACUUACCAUUAGAAGUAAAAAAACUAUAUGGAAACACUUAACAUGCUCUCUCUACUUAGUCUGGCUUUGUUUUUUUCUAACGGAGAAAUGAAAGUUUAAUUUGCUUUCUUGGUCAGAAGUCUGUUCAUUUUAAGUUAACCAGAAUGCCGAGAUGGGAAAUCUUAACAAUAAGGUUUUUAUAGAGGAAUGAAGUGUAUAUUUCGAUAAAUUAUGAGAGGGUACAGAAGAAACACAGAGUUUUGAGAGUAUUGUGAGUUUUUAAUGUUGUAUUUUUUAGGGGAAUAUAUGAAAAUUAUCACAGCAGUGUGGAUAUCUAGACAUAUAUAGAAAUUGUGAGAGCAAGAAUUUUAAAAUCGGAAAAAUACUAAGAGGUUGUGAGUAAUCCCAGAAAAUUGUAGACUACAUAAUCCUACUUGUACUAUUAUUUUAUCUUUAUGUUAUGAUAGAAUUUUAUAACCAUUCUCUAAAGCAGUGGUUCUUAACUGGAAAUAUUUUGUUUCCCAGGAAACUUCAGGCAAUGUUUGAAGAGAUUUUUGGUUAUCAUGAAUGUUGGAUAGGGGAUGAGCUACUGACAUGUAAUGAAUGUAAACCAGGGGUGCUACUAAAUAUCCUCUAAUGCCCAGGACAGUCCUGCCCAACAGAGAAGUAUCUGGUUCAAAAUAGAUGGAAAAUGUGUUUAUGGAUACAUUUAUGCUAUUAUCUGUAAGUAUAUAAUUUAUCACCUGUAGCCUCUCGACUGCCAUGUAGCUUGGAGAUACGACAAAACUUUACAGAAUUUAAAGAUGCUUCUCAUUGUUGGCAGGAAAGGCAUGGUAACAGAUAAAGCCACUGAGAGAAUAGUAGACUGAAUAGGUAGCUGCAUUGAAGAGCAAGCUGGGGCUGGGACAGGCUUAUGGGCCUCAACUCAGCUCCCAGUUACCAAGCCUCCUCCCUAACCUAACUAAUGGCAUAUUGGGAGUCUGAUUUAGUUCUGACUUUGUUGUGUGUAUGAGGAAGCUUCUCUAAGGGCAGAGGGGUUGAGGGAAAUGUACAUUAUUUAUAACUGUGAAAUUAGUAAGGUUGACUGUAGUUAAAAUUAAUUUUAAAAAACCAAAAUGUUUCAGGAUGAACAAUUAAAUGUUAAACUAUGGGUAUAUUUAUAGCUAUAACAGUUUGCCAUUAACUUCUGUUAAGACAGGUUUUAUUCACCACUGACUCCCCAGUGCCAAGAACAGUGCCUGGGAUGCAGUAAGUAUUUAAUAAUUAUUUGCUAAUUAAUCAGUUGUGCAGAUGAGUGAUGUGAUCUUUUUUUCUUUCUAGGUGCAGAUUUUAAUGUCAGUGACUGAAUUAAAAGGUGUUGAGAAGCUCAGAAUGAAUAGAUACGUUGGAUAUUUUGCACAAGUGAAACAUAUCUACAACUGGAAUCUCCCUCCAAGAAGGAUACUUUUUAUAAAAGCAUUCAUUAUUUAUUCAAUUCAUGGUAUUUCAUGACACUGAAAUAGAGCAAUAAUUGAUGUAUUCAACUAUCCGCCUCUGCAUGAUGAUAUGAAAGUGCAAUUUUUCUCUUUGCCGGCACUUCACGAGCUCCGUGGGGCAGAGCACCAGUGCAGCAAAGGCAGAGGCGAAGGAACCGGCAGCUGCAUUCUGCAGAUCACUGAAAGCACACAAGCAGACAGUUACCCCUCAGCUGCUUCAUUCCUUUGGCACCCACCACACGGAGGGCACUCUGGUGAUAAAGCAGGGGAACAAAACUACAGUCGCCCGUGGUUUUUGCUUCUGUUCAGUCUCCAUCAUGGCACGCCACAUUCUCCUGGUCUGUGCCCUGCUUGUUUCUUUACUGCCUUCCUGCCUGCCCUUUCUGUGCUGGAGGCUCAUCUCAUUCAUGCCCAGCCCUCCUCACUGUCUACACUGUCUUCUUGGGCAAUCGUAUCCAGUCCCAAGCCUCAAGCUCUACUCAUCAUGGUGAAAUUCCUGCCUAGAAAAAGGCACACCUUCAGACCUCCAGGCACCUCCAGAGAACACUGCUGUGCACAAGGAACCGAAGUCACUUGUGUGGGACCUGCAGCUGCAAUCAGGUUUCAAACUCUUACUGAAAUAACUAAGACUGCCCUUGGCAAUCUUGAAGCUUAUAUAAUAAUUUUAAGUGGUAUAAAAUAAAAUCAACGUUCAAAGCAGGGAUAGCUAAACAUCCCAGUGGUUUCCGAAUUCUCUUUAGUCUCUAUAUAAUAAAUACCCAAGGCAAGACCAAGAACAAGGCGAAGGCUGAUGUUUUGGGAAGACCUGGACAGAGAAAGGUGGGUUCCCUUGCAUCUUUGCAAACAUUUCCGACCCUUCCUAAAACUCCUCCAAUUCAUCGGGCUCAGACAACCUCUUCCAAUACUCUGCUUUUCGCUAAUGAAAGAAAAGCUAAAACGUGGAUCAUAAGCGGCAUCUACAGUUUUAGUGCAGCAUGUCUGCUGACGAGAGGUAGCACCGCCAGCUGCAUUUGAACAGCAUUCUACUGGAGAAAACUGAAACCGCAGGGCGGUUUGUUCUCAGUGGUGGAUGACGAGCAGGUCUCCUCUGUGGCGUGCAUAUGUGGUUUCCAAGUUUUACAUGAUGACAAUGUAUAA